rnacentral:rRNA from 1 species
UACGUAGGGUGCAGGCGUUAAUCGGAAUUACUGGGCGUAAAGCGUGCGCAGGCGGUUUCUUAAGUCAGAUGUGAAAGCCCCGGGCUUAACCUGGGAACUGCGUUUGAAACUGGGAGACUUGAGUGUGGCAGAGGGGGGUGGAAUUCCACAUGUAGCAGUGAAAUGCGUAGAUAUGUGGAGGAACACCGAUGGCGAAGGCAGCCCCCUGGGUUAGCACUGACGCUCAUGCACGAAAGCGUGGGGAGCAAACAGG